AUUGAACGCUGGCGGCAGGCCUAACACAUGCAAGUCGAGCGCGAAAGGUCUUCGGACUGAGUAAAGCGGCGGACGGGUGAGUAACGCGUAGGAAUUUGCCCAGUAGUGGGGGAUAACGUUUCGAAAGGAACGGUAAUACCGCAUACGCCCUAAGGGGGAAAGCAGGGGAUCUUCGGACCUUGCGCUAUUGGAGAAGCCUGCGUCGGAUUAGCUAGUUGGUGGGGUAAUGGCCUACCAAGGCGACGAUCCGUAGCUGGUCUGAGAGGAUGAUCAGCCACACUGGGACUGAGACACGGCCCAGACUCCUACGGGAGGCAGCAGUGGGGAAUAUUGGACAAUGGGGGCAACCCUGAUCCAGCCAUGCCGCGUGUGUGAAGAAGGCCUUCGGGUUGUAAAGCACUUUCAGCAGGGAGGAAAAGUUGACGGCUAAUAUCCGUUGACCCUGACGUUACCUGCAGAAGAAGCACCGGCAAACUCCGUGCCAGCAGCCGCGGUAAUACGGAGGGUGCGAGCGUUAAUCGGAAUUACUGGGCGUAAAGCGCGCGUAGGCGGCUUGUUAAGCUGGAUGUGAAAUCCCCGGGCUCAACCUGGGAACUGCACCCAGAACUGGCAAGCUAGAGUAUGGUAGAGGUGAGUGGAAUUUCCUGUGUAGCGGUGAAAUGCGUAGAGAUAUGGAAGAACAUCGAUGGCGAAGG
rnacentral:rRNA from 1 species